rnacentral:rRNA from 1 species
GAUGAACGCUGGCGGCGUGCCUAAUACAUGCAAGUCGAGCGAACUGAUUAGAAGCUUGCUUCUAUGACGUUAGCGGCGGACGGGUGAGUAACACGUGGGCAACCUGCCUGUAAGACUGGGAUAACUUCGGGAAACCGAAGCUAAUACCGGAUAGAAUCUUCUCCUUCAUGGGAGAUGAUUGAAAGAUGGUUUCGGCUAUCACUUACAGAUGGGCCCGCGGUGCAUUAGCUAGUUGGUGAGGUAACGGCUCACCAAGGCAACGAUGCAUAGCCGGCCUGAGAGGGUGAUCGGCCACACUGGGACUGGGACACGGCCCAGACUCCUACGGGAGGCAGCAGUAGGGAAUCUUCCGCAAUGGACGAAAGUCUGACGGAGCAACGCCGCGUGAGUGAUGAAGGCUUUCGGGUCGUAAAACUCUGUUGUUAGGGAAGAACAAGUACGAGAGUAACUGCUCGUACCUUGACGGUACCUAACCAGAAAGCCACGGCUAACUACGUGCCAGCAGCCGCCGUAA